rnacentral:lncRNA from 1 species
AGAAGUUCUACAUAACACAUCACAUUGGUGACUAGGUUUCCAACAGAUGAAUUUGGAGGGAAGAAAAACAUUCGGAUCUGGCAUCAGUCUACAUCUGUGUUUAAUUAGAAGAAGAAAUGAAUUCCCAUUAACACCAUUAGGAAACAUGCUAUGAUUGGUUAAAGCCUACAUGGACUGUGAAACUGAUCAAGAAAGCCCAGGAGAUCGUAAUGGAUUUUUUUCAUCUUAGAAGGCCUCUGGAGACUAACCCUUCUCAUCUCUGGAUGUCAUUUUCUUUCCUACUGGAGACAAAACAUCCUCUCCUUUCUCAGACUGUUUAAUGGUUUUUCCCUUCAUUGCUGCUUUGUGACCUUCGGUUAAGAGAAUAAAGUUCCCAGACGUCAUGAACUGAUCCAGGGCAGUGAAAGAAAAAGGAAAAAGAGAAGGAGGGACAGAAAGUGAAACAGAGUGAAGAGGCAACCACUGUAAACACUCUGUUGUUUCGAUAUUAUUGCCUGUUUUUGACUCAGUUUUCCCCAAUUUUGGGAAAUGAGGGCUGAGAAAUGAGAGGCUGGGGAGUGAAGAAGCUGAGAAUAAGUGAAACUAAAUGAAUCCUCCAAAAUCGCAUAGUGAAUAAAUUACUCUCCAGUUACUUGAAUUAGUACAUUACAGUUGUAACCUGAAUAAUGGGAAUGUCUUUCUUAUAUUCUUUCACCUUUGCUCUUAUGAGUUUUACAUUGUCCACAAGGCAGAAUCAUUAUAUUCUCAUCUCUAAAGUAAGAUGCCAUCAAAACAUUUACUACAGUGUGAGGCAUAGUGAUGUGGAAAAGAAGAACUCAACUUCUGGGGCCUCACUCUUGGAUACCAAUUACUUGCUCUUGGAAUCCAGUCGCCAUGCUCUGAGGAAGUCCAAGCAUCCACACAGACAGCCAGUGUUGUUGCUUUCCAACCAGAAGUCCCAGCUAAGGUCCCAGUCAGCUGCAAUCUACACAAAUGCAGGAGCCUUUAGAUGAUUCCAGUUCUCAGUCAGUGAGUCAUCUCAAGCUUUGGAAUCAUGCUUAACUGAAGUCUCACUGUGGGACAGAGAAAAGCGAAGACCACUAUAUGUUUUGAGAAUUCUUGACCCACAGAAUAAGUGAGCAUAUUUAUAAUCAUUUUUGUUUUCAACCACUGAGCUUAUGGUGGAUUAUUACAUAGUAAUGGAA